rnacentral:rRNA from 1 species
GACGAACGCUGGCGGCGUGCCUAAUACAUGCAAGUAGAACGCUGAAGGAGGAGCUUGCUUCUCUGGAUGAGUUGCGAACGGGUGAGUAACGCGUAGGUAACCUGCCUGGUAGCGGGGGAUAACUAUUGGAAACGAUAGCUAAUACCGCAUAAGAGUAGAUGUUGCAUGACAUUUGCUUAAAAGGUGCAAUUGCAUCACUACCAGAUGGACCUGCGUUGUAUUAGCUUGUUGGUGGGGUAACGGCUUACCAAGGCGACGAUACAUAGCCGACCUGAGAGGGGGGUCGGCCACACUGGGACUGAGACACGGCCCAGACUCCUACGGGAGGGAGCAGGAGGGAAACUUCGGCAAUGGACGGAAGUCUGACCGAGCAACGCCGCGUGAGUGAAGAAGGGUGUCGGAUCGGAAAGCUCGGUUGUAAGGGAAGAACGAGUGUGAGAGUGGAAAGUUCACACUGUGACGGUAUCUGACCAGAAAGGGACGGCUAACUACGUG